UGAGGUCAUGCUGGCUUUGAAUUUAAAAUCCCCCUGCCCCAGGCUCCACAAGAAAGACAGCAAGAUAUCGAGACUAGUUCAGACUCUACCAGAAGUGGAUGAGGAGCUUGACCAUUUCCCAAGGAGAGUCAAGUUCUGAUUUCUGAACAGAAUAUGAACUAGUCCUUGAGGAUGAGGAUGCCCACGAACAAAACGAAGAUGCGCACUAAUAAGAACUUGUCACCACUAUGCACAUAGAAGGACACAUCCAAACAGGGAUGUCAGCUGGUUUCUUGCCACCUUCUGGGAAUGAUGCUCCAGACUGCUAUGGACUGCCUAAUGUUUCAUAGAAAAUAUAAAAUCUCUAAGUUUCG